rnacentral:rRNA from 1 species
UACGUAGGGGGGCAAGCGUUGUCCGGAAUCAUUGGGCGUAAAGCGCGUGUAGGCGGCUUGGUAAGUCCGCUCUGAAAGCCCGGGGGCUCAACCCCGGGAGGCGGGUGGAUACUGUCAAGCUCGAGUCCGGAAGAGGCGAGUGGAAUUCCUGGUGUAGCGGUGAAAUGCGCAGAUAUCAGGAGGAACACCAAUGGCGAAGGCAGCUCGCUGGGACGUGACUGACGCUGAGACGCGAAAGCGUGGGGAGCAAACAGG